rnacentral:rRNA from 1 species
UACGUAGGGUGCGGGCGUUGUCCGGAUUUAUUGGGCGUAAAGAGCUCGUAGGCGGUUUGUCGCGUCGGCCGUGAAAUCUCCACGCUUAACGUGGAGCGUGCGGUCGAUACGGGCAGACUUGAGUUCGGUAGGGGAGACUGGAAUUCCUGGUGUAGCGGUGAAAUGCGUAGAUAUCGGAAGGAACACCGGUGGCGAAAGCGGCGCGCUGGACCCCUUCUGACGCUGAGGCGCGAAAGCCAGGGGAGCAAACGGG